rnacentral:lncRNA from 1 species
GAGACUACAUCUGCAAAAUGCUCAUCUCCAUUUGCUGAGUGUUCAAUUAGUUGAUUCUCACACCUUCAGUUGCACAAACGUCCCUGGCAAAUGCUGACUGCAACCCUAGCUCUUUCUGCAGGAGGCGGGUGGAGAGGGCAGGCACCCAACUGGAUGAUUGAGCUGAGGUCAUAGGAUGGGUAACAGGACCAGACUGAGAAACAGUUUCCCAAGUGGCAGAGACCUUGCUCCAUUUACACUGUAACCUCUAGUGUGUCUGAGCUUCCAGGAGCAGGAACAGGAAACAGAAAUUUCUCCAGUGAAAAGGUGUCUCACAUGGGAAAAGUCUAAGCAGCCCUGUUGUGAAGCAUGACGACAGGUCCCUGCGAAGAGAAAGUAAACACCUCGAAGUUUCAGGUACAUGGGUCAGUCCCCCAUGAAUAUCCCACCAGGUGCACACCAACACAGGAAAAGGGUCUGUGCACACUUGCAUUUGCACAGUGAAAAUUGUUGGGUCACACGAAAUGCUUCUUCAGACACUAAAAGGUUUGAUCACCCCCUUCCCAUGAAUUCCACAUGGAUAGCUGCUGUGUGAUCUGCCUUCCUAGAUCAGAGUCCAAAUUCUAACACAGAAGCUGUCAGACAUCAAUCUGACUGUGUGGAGCAUUAGAUGCGUCAUCAGCUGUGGGAUUCCUGAUGUCUCAUUUCAGAGGACAAUGAUUAGAGAUCACAAAGUAAGAUAUAGAGUCCGCC